rnacentral:rRNA from 1 species
UACGUAGGGCGCAAGCGUAUCCGGAAUUUAUUGGGCGUAAAGAGCUCGUAGGCGGUUUGUCGCGUCUGCCGUGAAAGUCCGGGGCUCAACUCCGGAUCUGCGGUGGGUACGGGCAGACUAGAGUGAUGUAGGGGAGACUGGAAUUCCUGGGUGUAGGCGGUGAAAUGCGCAGAUAAUCAGGAGGAACACCGAUGGCGAAGGCAGGAUCUCUG